GUGGGGAAUAUUGGGCAAUGGGCGCAAGCCUGACCCAGCAACGCCGCGUGAAGGAAGAAGGCUUUCGGGUUGUAAACUUCUUUUACCAGGGACGAAACAAAUGACGGUACCUGGUGAAUAAGCCACGGCUAACUACGUGCCAGCAGCCGCGGUAAUACGUAGGUGGCGAGCGUUAUCCGGAUUUAUUGGGUGUAAAGGGCGUGUAGGCGGGACAGCAAGUCAGAUGUGAAAACCAGAGGCUCAACCUCUGGCCUGCAUUUGAAACUGUUGUUCUUGAGUGUCGGAGAGGUAAUCGGAAUUCCGUGUGUAGCGGUGAAAUGCGUAGAUAUUGGGAGGAACACCAGUGGCGAAGGCGGCCUGCUGGACAUUAACUGACGCUGAGGCGCGAAAGCGUGGGGAGCAAACAGGAUUAGAUACCCCGGUAGUCC
rnacentral:rRNA from 1 species